ACUAUUUUGGCAGAUUAGUGCAAUAAAUUUAGAAUUUAUUUAUAUAGUUUUAUUAGCUAUAAAUAGUA
rnacentral:tRNA from 1 species